rnacentral:rRNA from 1 species
GAUGAACGCUGGCGGCGUGCCUAAUACAUGCAAGUCGAGCGGACAGACGAGGAUCUUGCUCCUCUGACGUUAGCGGCGGACGGGUGAGUCACACGUGGAUAACCUACCUAUAAGACUGGGAUAACUUCGGGAAACCGGAUCUAACACCGGAUAAUAUAUUGAACCGCAUGGUUCAAUAGUGAAAGACGGUUUUGCUGUCACUUAUAGAUGGAUCCGCGCCGGAUUAGCUAGUUGGUAGGGUAACGGCUUACCAAGGCGACGAUGCGUAGCCGACCUGAGAGGGUGAUCAGCCACACUGGAACUGAGACACGGUCCAGACUCCUACGGGAGGCAGCAGUAGGGAAUCUUGCGCAAUGGGCGAAAGCCUGACGGAGCAACGCCGCGUGAGUGAUGAAGGUCUUCGGAUCGUAAAACUCUGUUAUUAGGGAAGAACAGAUGUGUAAGUAACUAUGCACGUCUUGACGGUACCUAAUCAGAAAGCCACGGCUAACUACGUG